ensembl:lncRNA
CAGGAGGUGAUGAGAAGACAGAUGAGCUGGGCUGAGCAAGUCCACCUCGCUUACCCCCUGGUGGAAUGUUGGAGUGAGAGCUGCCUGACGGAUCCUCAUACCUGCAUGGAGGACCACCACGUGCCGAGGAAGCAGUCGGCAGCAGAAAAGCCGGUGAAUGGGUUCAACCAGGAGCAGGACCACUGGAACACCUUUGAUCUGAGUGAGUCGAUUAUGAAAGGAGGUUCUCUGAGGAAGACCUAAAGCUCAGCCACCAUCAGAUCAUUGGAUGUUUUUUGUUUUAUCCUACCUAAUCUAAUUGUUAACUAGAGUUUGUGAUUGGGGAGUGUUUUUUGUUUCAUCCUACCUAAUCUAAUUGUUCACUAGAGUUUGGGGAGCUUAAUGUUGCCUUUCUCAUGCUGGACACUGACUACUGAGUGGAAAUGGCUUAAACUGCUUCAUUUUUCACAUCUUGUGAAUUUUCCAGGCUGGCUGGACACUGUGGUGCCGGAGUGGCUCAAGGAGGCAGAGGAGGACAUGACUCCGAUCGAGCAGAUACACAUACUAUCACGUCUCCUGUAUACGGGUGAGACGGAUAUGCCUUUUGAAAUGUUUUUUUUAUUUUUUUUAUUAGUUUGUUUUUGGAGGGAGCAUAUUUAACUUUCUGUAUUCUGUAGUUCCCUGGUGUUUUGUCCAGAUUUACAUAAAUAAUUUCCUUUCAGAUGACAUGAUGAAUGAGUCUUGAGUUGACUUAAUGUGUGGUACUUGAUGUUUCGGCCUCACAGGAUAUGCAAGCACGCUGUUCACAAGGGUUGUGGACAGGAGAGAGACUGUUGGAAGAGGCUAUACUGCUACGUCCGUGCAGCAGUACCAGCUGUGUUCUGAAACAGAAAAGAGGAGGGCAGAGUGGGGUGAUGGAUUGAGAGAGAGAGUGACAGGAGGGCCCUUGUGAAAACUUAGCAGACUUUAAAGUGCUGUUAGUACAUUCAAUGUAUGCUACAUUUAAAUUAUUAAAUUUUGUGACAGAAGAUAAUAAUAUAAGACAACUACAAAAAUAUGCAAAGAGAAUACAGUCUCUGUAGAGUAGCUCUUAACAUAGCCUACCCAUACAUGCUUCACUAAAAGUCUACUAAUAGCAAUGGAAGUUAACUAUAUUGUAAAAAAU